rnacentral:tRNA from 1 species
GUAGAGGUCGCUUCUCGGUAAAACACCCCAAAGACGCACGCUUGGAAAGCGUGUGUGCGUUCACGCGUACCGCGGGUUCGAAUCCCGCCCUCUCCG